UUUGUAUCUUCAACACAGCAUCACUACUCGAUGAAAUGGAUUCUCUGUCUGAUUACGAGCAAACAACUGAAAACACCGCAAUCGUUUUUAGGUGAAAAUUCGUCAUAAGUUUUGUUGAAUAAUCUAAUAAAUCCCGUGCAAACGCAGUCACAAGCUGGCAGUGCUGCCUACAGUCCAUUUAGCGAUACUGUUAUACCAUCAAAAACAAAUCUAUUCCUACAACAACAGCCUGAGGUACCGUCCAUUAACCAGCUCAAACAGCAAAAGAGUUUUGCUAUGACUAUCAAUCAGGAUCUCCACUAAUGCGUCUCAG